UGAGGAAUAUUGGUCAAUGGGCGAGAGCCUGAACCAGCCAAGUCGCGUGAGGGAAGACGGUCCUACGGAUUGUAAACCUCUUUUGUCGGGGAGCAAUAAAGCGUACGCGUACGCAGAUGCGAGUACCCGAAGAAAAGCAUCGGCUAACUCCGUGCCAGCAGCCGCGGUAAUACGGAGGGUGCGAGCGUUAUCCGGAUUUAUUGGGUUUAAAGGGUGCGCAGGCGGAAAGUGCAAGUCAGCGGUCAAACGACGGGGCUCAACCCCGUCUCGCCGUUGAAACUGUCUUUCUAGAGUGAGCGAGAAGUAUGCGGAAUGCGUGGUGUAGCGGUGAAAUGCAUAGAUAUCACGCAGAACUCCGAUUGCGAAGGCAGCAUACCGGCGCUCAACUGACGCUCAUGCACGAAAGCGUGGGUAUCGAACAGGAUUAGAUACC
rnacentral:rRNA from 1 species